rnacentral:rRNA from 1 species
CCUACGGGAGGCAGCAGUGGGGAAUAUUGCACAAUGGAGGAAACCCUGAUGCAGCGACGCCGCGUGAGUGAAGACGUAAUUCUUUAUGGAAAGCUCUAUCAGCAGGGAAGAAAAUGACGGUACCUGAGUAAGAAGCACCGGCUAACUACGUGCAAGCAGCCGCGGUACUACGUAGGGGGCAGGCGUUAUCCGGAUUUACUGGGUGUAAAGGGAGCGUAGGCGGUAGUGCAAGUCUGUAGUGAAAGGCGGGGGCUCAACAUCCGGACUGCUUUUGAAACUGUACGGCUGGAGUGCAGUAGGGGUAAGCGGAAUGUCUAGUGUAGCGGUGAAAUGCGUAGAGAUUAGGCGGAACACCAGUGGCGAAGGCGGCUUACCGGACUGCAACUGACGUUGAGGCACGAAAGCGUGGGGAGCAAACAGGAUUAGAUACCCGGGUAGUC